rnacentral:rRNA from 1 species
GAGGAAGGCUAGCGACAGGCCUAACACAUGCAAGGCGAGGGGCAGCAUAAAGGUAGCAAUACUUUGGUGGCGACCGGCGCACGGGUGAGUAACACGUAUGCAACCUACCUGUAAGAGGGGAAUAACCCGGAGAAAUUCGGACUAACACCGCAUAAUACCGAUUAACUGCAUGGUUGAUCGGUUAAAUAUUUAUAGCUUACAGAUGGGCAUGCGUAACAUUAGAUAGUUGGUGAGGUAACGGCUCACCAAGGCAAAGAUGUUUAGGGGUUCUGAGAGGAAGGUCCCCCACACUGGUACUGAGAACCGGACCAAACUCAUACGGGAGGCAGCAGUGAGGAAUAUUGGUCAAUGGGCGAGAGCCUGAACCAGCCAAGUCGCGUGAAGGAAGAAGGUUCUAUGGAUUGUAAACUUCUUUUGUAAGGGAAUAAAAAGAGUUACGUGUAACUUAUUGUAUGUACUUUCCGAAUAAGGAUCGGCUAACUCCGUGCCAGCCGCCGCCGUAACAC